GAGGGUAUAGCUCAGUGAUAGAGUGCAUGAUUGGCAUGCACAAGUUCUGGGUUCAAUCCCCAGUACCUCCA
rnacentral:tRNA from 1 species